UACGUAGGCAGCGAGCGUUGUUCGGAGUUACUGGGCGUAAAGGGUGUGUAGGCGGUUCUUUUAAGUUUGGUGUGAAAUCUCCCGGCUCAACCGGGAGGGUGCGCCGAAUACUGAGGGACUAGAGUAUGGGAUGGGAAAGUGGAAUUCCUGGUGUAGCGGUGAAAUGCGUAGAUAUCAGGAGGAACACCUGUGGUGUAGACGGCUUUCUGGACCAUAACUGACGCUGAAACACGAAAGCGUGGGUAGCAAACAGG
rnacentral:rRNA from 1 species